CCCAGGGCUUUGCCCUGGGCUGGGAUAACGCGGGCCUUCAGCCCG
rnacentral:sRNA from 1 species